ensembl:lncRNA
GUGGAGGGCAGAUCCAUAGGGCAGAGUGGAGGGCAGAUCCAUAGAGGGCAGAUCCAGGGCAGAGUGGAGGGCAGAUCCAUAGGACAGAGUGGAGGGCAGAUCCAUAGGGCAGAGUGGAGGGCAGAUCCAUAGGGCAGAGUGGAGGGCAGAGUGGAGGGCAGAGGGCAGAGUGGAGGGCAGAUCCAUAGGGCAGAGUGGAGGGCAGAUCCAUAGGGCAGAGUGGAGGGCAGAGUGGAGGGCAGAUCCAUAGGGCAGAGUGGAGGGCAGAUCCAUAAGGCAGAGUGGAGGGCAGAGUGGAGGGCAGAUCCAUAGGGCAGAGUGGAGGGCAGAGUGGAGGGCAGAGGGAAGGGCAGAGUGGAGGGCAGAUCCAUAGGACAGAGUGGAGGGCAGAUCCAUAGGGCAGAGUGGAGGGCAGAUCCACAGGGCAGAGUGGAGGGCAGAUCCACAGGGCAGAGUGGAGGGCAGAGUGGAGGGCAGAUCCAUAGGGCAGAGUGGAGGGCAGAGGCAGAGUGGAGGGCAGAGUGGAGAGCAGAUCCAUAGGGCAGAGUGGAGGGCAGAUCCAUAGGGCAGAGUGGAGGGCAGAUCCAUAGGGCAGAUCCAUAGGGCAGAGUGGAGAGCAGAUCCAUAGGGCAGAGUGGAGGGCAGAUCCAUAGGGUAGAGUGGAGGGCAGAUCCAUAGGGUAGAGUGGAGGGCAGAUCCAUAGGGCAGAGUGGAGGGCAGAUCCAUAGGGCAGAGUGGAGGGCAGAUCCAUAGGGCAGAUCCAUAGGGCAGAGUGGAGGGCAGAGUGGAGGGCAGAUCCAUAGGGCAGAGUGGAGAGCAGAUCCAUAGGGUAGAGUGGAGGGCAGAUCCAUAGGGCAGAGUGGAGGGCAGAUCGGAUUCGUCAACAACAACAAAAAUAAACAAGUGCAUUCUAAAUAAACAAGUGUAUAAUCACAUAUGGG